AGUUUGAUCAUGGCUCAGGAUGAACGCUGGCGGUAUGCUUAACACAUGCAAGUCGAACGGAUGUUUUCGGACAUUAGUGGCGGACGGGUGAGUAACGCGUGAGAAUCUAGCUUCAGGUUGGGGACAACAGUUGGAAACGACUGCUAAUACCGAAUGUGCCGAAAGGUGAAAGAUUAAUUGCCUGAAGAAGAGCUCGCGUCUGAUUAGCUAGUUGGUGAGGUAAGAGCUUACCAAGGCGACGAUCGGUAGCUGGUCUGAGAGGACGAUCAGCCACACUGGGACUGAGACACGGCCCAGACUCCUACGGGAGGCAGCAGUGGGGAAUUUUCCGCAAUGGGCGAAAGCCUGACGGAGCAAUACCGCGUGAGGGAAGAAGGCUCUUGGGUUGUAAACCUCUUUUCUUAGGGAAGAAAAAAAUGACGGUACCUAAGGAAUCAGCAUCGGCUAACUCCGUGCCAGCAGCCGCGGUAAUACGGAGGAUGCAAGCGUUAUCCGGAAUGAUUGGGCGUAAAGCGUCCGCAGGUGGUUUAUCAAGUUUGCGGUUAAAGGUUCUGGCUCAACCAGAGACAGGCCGUGAAAACUGAUAGACUGGAGUAAGGUAGGGGCAGAGGGAAUUCCCAGUGUAGCGGUGAAAUGCGUAGAGAUUGGGAAGAACACCGGUGGCGAAAGCGCUCUGCUA
rnacentral:rRNA from 1 species